AUAUAUACACACACACACACACACACACACACACACAAUAUUGAGAACACAAAAUUCAGCCAGUGUUAAAUAUGUAUAAAGGCCCCUCCAAAGUGGUGUGUGUGUGUGUGUGUGUGUGUGUGUGUGUGUGUGU
rnacentral:miRNA from 1 species